rnacentral:rRNA from 1 species
ACAUUCUGGAAAGUAUAACCAUAGAGGGUGAUAGUCCCGUAUGCGAAAAACAAACCUUAGCUAGCAGUAUCCUGAGUAGGGCGGGACACGAGGAAUCCUGUCUGAAUCCGGGUCGACCACGAUCCAACCCUAAAUACUAAUACCAGAUCGAUAGUGCACAAGUACCGUGAGGGAAAGGUGAAAAGAACUGAGGUGAUCAGAGUGAAAUAGAACCUGAAACCAUUUGCUUACAAUCAUUCAGAGCCCUAUGUAGCAAUACAGGGUGAUGGACUGCCUUUUGCAUAAUGAGCCUGCGAGUUGUGGUGUCUGGCAAGGUUAAGCAAACGCGAAGCCGUAGCGAAAGCGAGUCUGAAUAGGGCGCUUAGUCAGAUGCUGCAGACCCGAAACGAAGUGAUCUAUCCAUGAGCAAGUUGAAGCUAGUGUAAGAACUAGUGGAGGACUGAACCCAUAGGCGUUGAAAAGCCCCGGGAUGACUUGUGGAUAGGGGUGAAAGGCCAAUCAAACUUCGUGAUAGCUGGUUCUCUCCGAAAUAUAUUUAGGUAUAGCGUUGUGUCGUAAUAUAAGGGGGUAGAGCACUGAAUGGGCUAGGGCAUACACCAAUGUACCAAACCCUAUCAAACUCCGAAUACCUUAUAUGUAAUCACAGCAGUCAGGCGGCGAGUGAUAAAAUCCGUCGUCAAGAGGGAAACAACCCAGACUACCAGCUAAGGUCCCUAAAUCUUACUUAAGUGGAAAACGAUGUGAAGUUACUUAAACAACCAGGAGGUUGGCUUAGAAGCAGCCAUCCUUUAAAGAAAGCGUAAUAGCUCACUGGUCUAGUGAUUUUGCGCGGAAAAUAUAACGGGGCUAAAGU